UGCGAAGGGGGCUAGCGUUGCUCGGAAUGACUGGGCGUAAAGGGCGCGUAGGCGGAUGGCACAGUCAGAUGUGAAAUUCCUGGGCUUAACCUGGGGGCUGCAUUUGAUACGUGUUGUCUAGAGUGAGGAAGAGGGUUGUGGAAUUCCCAGUGUAGAGGUGAAAUUCGUAGAUAUUGGGAAGAACACCGGUGGCGAAGGCGGCAACCUGGUCCUUGACUGACGCUGAGGCGCGAAAGCGUGGGGAGCGAUCCGG
rnacentral:rRNA from 1 species